UACGGAGGGUGCAAGCGUUAUCCGGAUUCACUGGGUUUAAAGGGUGCGUAGGUGGGCAGGUAAGUCAGUGGUGAAAUCUCCGGGCUUAACUCGGAAACUGCCGUUGAUACUAUCUGUCUUGAAUAUCGUGGAGGUUAGCGGGAAUAUGUCAUGUAGCGGUGAAAUGCUUAGAUAUGACAUAGAACACCCAUUGCGAAGGCAGCUAACUACACGAUCAUUGACACUGAGGCACGAAAAGCGUGGGGGGAGCAAAACAGG
rnacentral:rRNA from 1 species